rnacentral:tRNA from 1 species
GGGGAUAUAGCUCAGUGUUAGAGUGCUUCCCUAGCACACCGAGGGUCCUAGGUUCAAUACCCAGUAUCCCCC